GCGCGAAAACUUUACAAUGCGGGAAACCGUGAUAAGGGGACACCGAGUGCUAGCAUCAUAUGCUGGCUGUCCAGGUGUGUAAAAUACACCUGUUAGCAAGGGCCGGGCAAGACCGGUGC
rnacentral:rRNA from 1 species